UACGAAGGGGGCUAGCGUUGCUCGGAAUCACUGGGCGUAAAGCGCACGUAGGCGGCUUCUUAAGUCAGGGGUGAUAUCCUGGGGCUCAACCCCAGAACUGACCUUGAUACUGAGGAGCUUGAGUCCGGGAGAGGUGAGUGGAACUCCGAGUGUAGAGGUGAAAUUCGUAGAUAUUCGGAAGAACACCAGUGGCGAAGGCGGCUCACUGGCCCGGUACUGACGCUGAGGUGCGAAAGCGUGGGGAUCAAACAGG
rnacentral:rRNA from 1 species